rnacentral:rRNA from 1 species
UGCCUGUUUACAAAAACAUAGCCUUACGUAGAGAUGUAAGGUAAGCCCUGCCCGGUGAGGAUUUAACGGCCGCAGUACCCUGACUGUGCUAAGGUAGCGUAAUCAGUUGGCUUUUAAAUGGAGUCGAGAAUGAAUGGGUCCAUGGGGGAAUGCUGUCUCCAACUUGUUUAAUAGAAUUUACUGAAUGGGUGAAAAUUCCCAUAAAUAGAAAAAAGACGAGAAGACCCUUAGAAUCUGCACGAGCAUGUAUGUUUUACAGUAAGUUUUUGUUGGGGCGACAACGGGGCAGGCAAAGCUAUACAAAUAGUAAAACUAAUAGAACCCCCGCAUUGAAGUAUUACAAGACGAAAAUGGUAAGAAAGAUCAGAUUACCUAAGGGAUAACAGCAUAAUUUUAAUAAGUUUGUGACCUCGAUGUUGGACUAGGGACUUUACGACUAGCCGUCGCAAUAGUAGGAUCUGUUCNAUCUUUUUAACCCUACGUGAUCUGAGUUCA